GAAAGGUUGUUUGAAGAACCCAGAAUGGUUCUUCGAUGGCGUCGCUGCGAAAACCCCCUUUGGUACCUGAAUUUUUAAGAGUGCAGAUGCGCUAUAGAUAUUUCUAGGACUUUUACAGGCCUUAAAAUAACAAUUAUAAAAUCCCCUGAAAUUUACAUGUUUUCCAUAACUGGGGAAAUAAUGUGCGCUACUAAUCACUGACAAUGUUGGGUUGACAUCUUCCUGCUAAAACCUAAUGGCUUGUUUAUGUGUGUGUGUGUGUGUGUGUGUGUGUGU